GCCUGGCCGCCCAUCGUCUGGGAUGUGAGGAGCCCCUCUGCCUGGCUGCCCAGUCUGGAAAGUGAGGAGCAUCUCCGCCCGGCCGCCAUCCCAUCUAGGAAGUGAGGAGCGCCUCUUCCCAGCCGCCGUCACAUCUAGGAAGUGAGGAGCGUCUCUGCCCCGCCGCCCAUUGUCUGAGAUGUGGGGAGCGCCUCUGCCCCGCCGCCCCAUCUGGGAUGUGAGGAGCGCCUCUGCCCGGCCGAGACCCCGUCUGGGAGGUGACGAGCGUCUCUGCCCGGCCGCCCCGUCUGAGAAGUGAGGAGACCCUCUGCCUGGCAACCACCCCGUCUGAGAAGUGAGGAGCCCCUCCGCCCGGCAGCUGCCCCGUCUGAGAAGUGAGGAGCCUCUCCGCCCGGCAGCCACCCCAUCUGGGAAGUGAGGAGCGUCUCCGCCCAGCAGCCACCCCGUCCGGGAGGGAGGAGGCUGGACCUGCCCCUGCGGGGCUGUGGGCUGAACACAGGGUUCAGGCUAGGUACCCCAUCCAGUGGGACCCCAAAUCUGAGCAUGGCAGCUGCCCCCUGAGCUCCUAUGAGGUGGAGACGUCACACAGUGGCUGAGCGCGGGGAUAUAAGCCCCGAAAGGAAAGCCCUGAGCAGAGGAGGCCUCAGCUUGACCUGUCCCAGUGCGCCCUUGAAACUUUCCUCGCCUUCCACCUCCUGCUCAUCUGCUUCACAAGCUGUCGCUGUGGUGUCGGUUCGCAGGUCGUGGCCUCUCAUGGCCACGGUGCUUUUGGCCCUGCUCGUCUACCUGGGGGCGCUGGUCGACGCCUACCCCAUCAAACCCGAGGCUCCCGGCGAAGACGCCUUCCUGGGGUAGCUGAGCCGCUGCUACGCCUAUCCUCGCCACUACCUCAUCCUGGUCACUCAGCCGUCGUGAGCGCAGGCGCGGGGCGGGCGGAGCGGGACCCCUGGGGCUCUCCCCCUGCGGCCCCGCUCCACCGGGGGCGUGGCUAGAUCUGACCGCGCCCUUCCAGGCCCCGCCCUCAGGUAUGGGAAACUAGGCCGCCCGGUCGCGCGCCUCUCCAAAACGUUCUUCCCAGACUGCGAGGACCGCCUCGGCAGGUGGCGGUAAAAGCGCCCCCAUCAAGUCACAUAACAUCCUGCCUCCGAGAGCGCGGUCUGGCCCCACCCUGGUCCAUCACUUACGACGUCUCCCAGGCUUGCCUCCCCGGAUCGGAUUCCUUUCCCUUCGAUCCCGCAGGCCGGAGGCGCAGACCUGUGGUGAGGACACCCGAGGCCUCCUGGGAGACCUGCAGACCACGCCCACCUCAUUUACAUGUUCACUCCCGACCCUGGAAACCCGGAUUUCGCCUCCGGACAGCGGCGUCUGGGCAGGGUUCGGGUACUGCAGUCCCGCGUCUGGAUGCCCCCGCCCCCUGAGCUGCAGGGCUGUGUGUGGUCCUUCCCUGGUCCCAAAAUAAAGAGCGAAUUGCACAGAAACGGAAUGUGUGCCUUUGUAUUUUCUUUCCUUUCUCCUUCGUGGAGGUGGCGUCUCGUGGAAGUGGAGGGUGGAGGCGUGGGGGCCAGAGGAGAGAAAAC
rnacentral:lncRNA from 1 species